CAAGAUGGCUGAGUAUUAAGUGGUGGAUUGUAGCCCCAUGGACGGGGGUUUAAUCCCCCCUCUUGU
rnacentral:tRNA from 1 species